GCACAGCGGUGGAGCAUGUGGUUUAAUUCGAUGCAACGCGAAGAACCUUACCUGGUCUUGACAUGUCCGGAACCUUGCAGAGAUGCGAGGGUGCCUUCGGGAAUCGGAACACAGGUGCUGCAUGGCUGUCGUCAGCUCGUGUCGUGAGAUGUUGGGUUAAGUCCCGCAACGAGCGCAACCCUUGUCCUUAGUUGCCAGCACGUAAUGGUGGGAACUCUAAGGAGACUGCCGGGGUCAACUCGGAGGAAGGUGGGGAUGACGUCAAGUCAUCAUGCCCCUUAUGUCCAGGGCUUCACACAUGCUACAAUGGCCGGUACAAAGGGCUGCGAUGCCGUGAGGCUUAGCGAAUCCUUUAAAGCCGGUCUCAGUUCGGAUCGGGGUCUGCAACUCGACCCCGUGAAGUCGGAGUCGCUAGUAAUCGCAGAUCAGCAACGCUGCGGUGAAUACGUUCCCGGGC
rnacentral:rRNA from 1 species